rnacentral:lncRNA from 1 species
UAUGCCCGGGCAUGGGGGCACAGGCCCAAGGGGCACUGUCCUGUCUGCAGAUGCUGCGGGAAAUCACAGAUCAGGAACACAACGUGGUGGCACUGAAGGAGGCCAUCAAGGACAAGGAGGAACCUCUGCACAUAGCCCAGACCCGGCUGUAGUUGCUCUCACACCGGCCCAACAUGCAGCUGUGCCGCGAUGCAGCCCAGUUCAGGUGCUGAGAGGGGAGGGAGACUCUGCGGCCACACACAACAUGCAAGCACGCCUUAAACACACAGAUAUAGACAUGACACUGGGCAGGUCAUGGGUCGGGGGCCUCCCCGUGCCAGGGACCUGUGCCCACGUGGUCUCACCCCACCCUGUGCUACCUCAUCUUCCCGGGAGGAAGCUCCUUCAGACAAGGUGAGCUCCUGGAGGCCACGGGGCCAGAGAGGCCAGAGAGGGCCAUUCCCUGCUGCCCUGAGGGUGCUGUCCCCACCUCUGGUGGAAAGUAUGACCUACGCCUGGGCUACAGGCAUAGAUGGGCCGUCCUUUUGUUUCCCUUGUUAACGGAUGCCUGGUGGCCCCUUCUGAGCCUAAGUACCUUUCUUCCUUCCCUGCCCCUCAGUUCCUUCAAGGAACUGGGUGCCUCCUUCCGUCAAAUAUCAGGAAUGGAAAGAACUGAGCCUGGUCGGCUGAGGCCAGUCCUGUCCUGUCAGGGUCGAGAUUGCACGCGGGUCACUCAUUCCCACUCAGGCCCGCGCUCCCUGGGAGGACCCUCGUAAUUUAUGCUCUGCCCUAGAGCCGCUUUCCUGGUAGGAUCCUUUCAUGGCGUCUUCCCAGGACCUCCUGCCAGCUCCCAUUGGGAGUUUUGGGUCCCCUCCACCCCAGUAGGUGCAUACUUCUGCCCUCCCCAGCCCCAGCUCACACCCCCCAACACCCCCAAGCUGGUGAGUGAGGUGGAGGAGCUGUACAAGUCCAUCACAGCGCUGCGGGAGAAGCUUCUACAAGCGGAGCAGUCCCUGCGCAACCUCAAGGACAUCCACAUGAGCCUGGAGAAGGACGUCACUGCCAUGACCAACAGUCUCUUCAUCGACCGCCAGAAGUGCAUGGCCCAUCGUACUUGCUACCCCACCAUUCUGCAGCUGGCUGGCUACCAGUGAGCAGCGGCACGGUGCUUCCCCCCAAUCCCCCAAAUAAACAGUGCGUUAGCU